AAUACUUCAAUUUGGUUUGUCUCUGGUUGAGCAUCUUACAAAUUACACCAUUGUAUUUCCAAGAAGCCUUCUCUUGGCAAUCCAGAGGAUAGAGAUGUUGGGGAAGCUGAGUCUCCUUCUCCCAGGUGGUCUCCUGCACACAGCCCUUCAAGUCCACAUGAAACCCACAUAGAGUCUGAGGGCAAGAAUGUUGUUGGAGGUGAAUCUCCUUCUGCCAGGCACACUGAAACACAGGACUCUAACAAUUCAUCAGCACCUUCUUCUGCGGACAGUGGUUCAGCUGACAACCUUUUUUUUAAAUAUACCUUGCCGACAGGCCCAUGUUUUUUUUUUUUUAUUAUUGAUAGAAAGGAUUGGACAGACCUACGUAAACAACAGGUUGAACACCAGUUCAAAGACCUACAAUGGACAAAUGUAAUAGUAAAAGGAAUACGUUCUGUCCACCCAUAUUGCAGCAUAGCAUUCAAAAGGCAUACAGUCAAAACGAAAGUGUCAAAAAGAAGAGGGCCUAUAUUCCAUUGCCUGGCCUAUUGCAGAUUUGCAGAUUGCCCUGUUUGUAUUGAAGUGAUUGUACAUGACGAGAGUACUCUGAAAGCCUGGGUGACAUUUCAGGGAGUGAAGGUUUGCCAUAGUAUGGCUGAAUUACAAACAAGCUGAUGAGAGAGACAUUAUUGGC